GCCUUGUAAGCUUUCGCCAAGGAGGGGACAAUAUCUUCUGGUUUACCAUGUUGAAUUAAUAGGUCAAGUCCCCGCUUCACUAGGUUCCUUUUCAAGUCAUUUAAGCACUCUAUGAUGAAUUGAGCCCUUAAAGCUCCUGUUUUGGGCAUUCCAAAGUAAUGGGUAGUCCCAAAAAGCCUAGGAUCAACACAAUACACAGGCAAGAUUGCUUCAGAUGAAACCCAAGCUCUUAAAAGAG
rnacentral:misc_RNA from 1 species